CAGUCGCCGCGGUAAUACGAAGGGUGCAAGCGUUACUCGGAAUUACUGGGCGUAAAGCGUGCGUAGGUGGUGGUUUAAGUCCGUUGUGAAAGCCCUGGGCUCAACCUGGGAAUUGCAGUGGAUGCUGGGUCACUAGAGUGUGGUAGAGGAUAGUGGAAUUUCCGGUGUAGCAGUGAAAUGCGUAGAGAUCGGAAGGAACAUCUGUGGCGAAGGCGACUAUCUGGGCCAACACUGACACUGAGGCACGAAAGCGUGGGGAGCAAACAGGAUUAGAUACCCGGGUAGUCCCUGUCUCUUAUAC
rnacentral:rRNA from 1 species